AGUGAGAUGGCUGAGUGGUUGAAAGCACUCCCCUGCUAAGAGAGUAUGUGUAGAAAUACGCGUCGAGGGUUCGAAUCCCUCUCUCACUA
rnacentral:tRNA from 1 species